CCUACGGGGGGCAGCAGUGAGGAAUAUUGGUCAAUGGGCGCGAGCCUGAACCAGCCAAGUCGCGUGAGGGAAGACGGUCCUAUGGAUUGUAAACCUCUUUUGUCGGGGAGCAAAAGACGCCACGCGUGGCGUUCCGAGAGUACCCGACGAAAAAGCAUCGGCUAACUCCGUGCCAGCAGCCGCGGUAAUACGGAGGAUGCGAGCGUUAUCCGGAUUUAUUGGGUUUAAAGGGGGCGCAGGCGGAAGAUCAAGUCAGCGGGAAAAUUGAGAGGCUCAACCUCUUCGAGCCGUUGAAACUGGUUUUCUUGAGUGAGCGAGAAGUAUGCGGAAUGCGUGGUGUAGCGGUGAAAUGCAUAGAUAUCACGCAGAACUCCGAUUGCGAAGGCAGCAUACCGGCGCUCAACUGACGCUCAUGCACGAAAGUGUGGGUAUCGAACAGGAUUAGAUACCCGAGUAGUC
rnacentral:rRNA from 1 species